UACGAAGGGGGCUAGCGUUACUCGGAUUGACUGGGCGUAAAGGGCGCGUAGGCGGUUUGUACAGUCAGACGUGAAAUUCCUGGGCUCAACCUGGGGGCUGCGUUCGAUACGUGCGGACUUGAGUUCGGAAGAGGGUCGUGGAAUUCCCAGUGUAGAGGUGAAAUGCGCAGAUAUCGGGAAGAACACCCGUGGCGAAGGCGGCUCUCUGGGACGGUACUGACGCUGAGACGCGAAAGCGUGGGGAGCGAACAGG
rnacentral:rRNA from 1 species